UUAAUGUUUUUUCGUUUUGAGAGGUUAACACGUGCUUCAAGAAAAAUGUAGAAAAUUAAUAACAAGCUGUUUUAAAAAUUUGGUGGAUGCGCCGGGCGAUUUUUUUAGACAAAUGUGACUUACGGGCUGAUUUCAAGUUGAGUUACGACCCGCGCAAAUCAUGAUUUAGCAACGGCGCAGUGUCAAGAUGCGACCGUCGCUUCCUAAUUUCAAGUCAAAUUUUGCGCGCAAUUUUGCUACCGUUGGCUGCGACACCUCUCGAGCAGUCGUAAGUGGAUUUGCGACCUGUCAAAUUUGCAAUUUCAUGUGAAAAUGGCGGUCGGGACCAAAUAUUGGCCCCUUUGGUGAACGAUUUACUUGAAAUUGCUUGAUAAAUUCAAGUGAAAGUGAAAACAGUGAUAAUGACGAACGACUUUUGAGACUAUUUUUUAUCAACGGCUCUUCGGAAACCCUACUUUUUCAACAAACCCCGGCUUGAUGGAACCGUUUGCAGUUCAUUUCGCGGGCUUUGACGAAAAGCACCAAAAAGGGGCGUUAUUCUGCCUUGAACUCCUAUGUAUAAGCUAUAUAUGGCUCGACACUGGAACAAACAAUAGAUGGUAGGCAGCAGAGGUCACAUUUUCAAAAGCACAAUUCUGAAAACCAUCCAGGAAGUGACUGCAGCAGCAGGAAAUCCCAGUGCCGAUGUUUGUUGAUGAUCGCGAAGAAAAUAAGGAAUUACUGGAUGGAAGAGGAGAUGCAGCAAUUUUGGCCGUAAAUACCUAUUACCCAGGAAUUGGAUCAUGGAAAUCGGAAUUUGUUGUAUAUUGAUAAAUAAACUAAAUUGAAAACUGUAAAAGAAUAUAUUUGCCUGAAAAUGUACCAAAAUACAUUAUUUGUACUGAAAUAAAUAAUACAAAAUUCAUGAA